CCUAGAAGGAAGAGCACCCAAGGACAUGACCCCAGGGACCUCCUCCCAGCUAGGCCUUGCCUCUCCAAGUCUACAUACAUCCAUCAAAUUACGUCUCACUCAGCGGACACAACCACUGUAAGGCAGAGCCCUCGUAAUCGCCUCUUGGUAACUGGAUACACCAAUCAGGGAUCAGAACGAGGCUUUUGGGAAGACUUUAUGUCUAAAUGGUAAGUCUUCUUCAGGGACUACAGGGGAGAUUUGAACUAAGUUUUGAAAUGCAAAUAAAAAGACAAGUAGGGAACUAACGGGUGGUGGUGGUGGUGGUGGUGGUGGUUACUGUGGUGGUGACAGUGGCACACGUCUGGCAGUAAGAGUCAGCAGCAGCCUUGUCCUUGUCCUAUGGCUCAUUCCCUGCCUGACACACAUGCUCUAGCAACCACGACACCAAAAUCAUACCCACCAUCGAAUAUCAUGUGACUUCAAAGGCUAUUUACCCCAUCUCACAAGCCUGGCUAACGCAUCCCUUGCCAGGGUUAGUGUUAGUAUUUUUACUUUCACAUGCUCUUGGACAUAUAUAUGUAUAUAUACACAUACAUAUAUUGGCACACACAGUGUGUGAGCACCCACGGGGCCCCUGGAGUGCUUGUCAUAUGACCAUGAAGCAGCUUUAUUGUAUGGAACCCCAGACAAUGCUCACCCACUGAAGCGCAGACUUACCAUGGUGAGUCUGAAAUUAGAAAACUUCCCCAAAUUGCAGGCACACCACUGCAGUAAACAAUACUUCCCCUUUGACCUGUUGAAUUUCUGACCAACGGAGAAGGAAGCUGUGAUUCACUUACUUUUCUUUUUUUAACAUUAUAUAUUUUUAAAGAUCUACUUAUUUAUCUUCAGAAGAGGGCAUCAGAUCUCAUUACGGAUGGUUGUGAGCCACCAUGUGGUUGCUGGGAUUUGAACUCAGGACCUCUGGAAGAGCAGUCAAUGCUCUUAACCACUGAGCCAUCUCUCCAGCCAGAAGCUGUGAUUUAUUACUGAGAACUGAAACUCUCAAUAGAAAAAGAACUGACGAUCCAAGGAAACUCCACCCUGCCUCUCACGCAUUUACUAGCCAUAGAUCGCACACUGUGUUGAUUUCCUCGUUAAAGUUGAAUAAAUGAGAAGUGAUAUCGGCUAUGAGAAGAGAUGCACAGAAAGCACCUAACAACAGUGAAAGUGUGGCAUUCACGGCUAACCCAAUCACAGUCUGACGUGCAUGACUGACCCAAUCACAGAGAGGAGGGAGAUUGCAACCCUAAGGCAAAAAGGCAAAACAACUGAAAAGAUGGCAAAUUUACCCAAACCUUAGAUAAUGGGCCUUUCUCUGGAUCAUUCCACUGUUUUCUGUACACUAACCAGCCUUUAUUUACUACAGAUCUCACAUUUUCAUUAUGGGCCUAAAAUAUUAAAUUAAAAUAUUAAAUUAGCUCAAGGAGAUGCUGCUAGAGGAGAUCAAUAUGUUAAAGCUUAACUUAUAAGACUACUUCUACAUUAGAACUAUUUUGUGUGUAUCGCUGCUUUGCAGAAUACCAGGUACAUGCCUUGUGCCCAGCAGGGACCACAAGAGUUCACUGGGUUCCUUGGAAGUGGAGUUAUAGAAGCCACCACGGGGUGCUAGGAAUGAAACCCAGGUUUAACUAAGCAGCAAGCACUCCUGAGCACUGAGGCACCUCUCCAGCCCCGAACUAACCAAUCUUUAACGUCAGGAGGAACGCACGUGGAUUUUAAUGCUGAGUAAGACAUUUUUGGGGGCAAGGCAGAAAGCCUAGGGGCUAGACUAGCACUAACGAUUGUUCAAAACAAAAACAAGGCCCUAAUGGAAAGCAAACCCAAGACACAUUCAGGGUUUUCCUCCCAAGAGUUAAAAUGAAUGGCUUUGCAAUGUUAUCUUUCUUUAGGUAAAGAUGUUCUGUGAUCACAGGUUUCAUUUUAACACUGCCAAGAUUGUGGUCCCAUGACUGGGUGGUAGCUGACUUCACAGUUGCCCAGGCCUGGAGAUAUAACUCUAAUAACAUCUCACAGCCAAGAUAAUGAACUCCUCACUUGUACAGGAAGGAUCCGUCUAUAAUCUCAAGCUACAUAGACAAACACCCACGAGGCAAUAUGGACAAACAACUCAAAAGUCACUUGAGGCUACAGAAACUGCUUCGGGUUUCAAGCCCAAGGAUCCAUUGUUAGUAAAACAAAUGAGGUGAGCACAUUUCCCUCCUGUACAGCCUAAAUCCUGGCUCUCGGGGCAUAAAGGGCGGUUUCACAAUUCCCCUGAAGAGCCCCUUCAAUCUGUUGUUACUACGCGUUUAUGUGAAUGUGUGGGCCUGUCUCGUUCACACGCACACGUGCACACGCAUGCACACGUGCCUGUCACUGCUCCCGUAGUGAAGCGAGCGUACAAUUUAUGAGAACAGGCUCUCUGAACAAAGGUCAUCAGGGUUGGUGACAAGCACCCUGGCGUACCUGCCUAGUCAUUUCAUUUUGAAUUUGAAUGACAGCACACUAGGAAGAGCUACAAUGUAUACACUGUAUUCAGCGCUAGGAAGACCUACAAUGUAUACACUGACUCCAAUUCAGGGGGUCAAAGGUCAGAGGGCAAGUAUCCACUGCUCGGGAUCCCCACAACUGAGUUCUCAGGAAGAAGGAGAUUUACUUGCCCCAGAGAGACAGAGGACAGGAGAUGGAGGAAGAGGGAGAAGGGGAAGGGAAUAGGAGGGAAGGAAAGGGGUAUUUGUCCCUCAGGACAACUGUCUCUGAAGAGAGGACAUGAUAUGUGAUCAUGACAUUGGCAAGGAAAUGGGUAGGAAAAAAAACCCCGGGAAAGGUGACCCCAGAAGGACAGAUGUGGUGUGCACACACUGGCUCACUUACAUGUAGGUAUGGACUGUGAAGUCGAUGAUAACCAAGCUACCAUCUGCAGAGCCACAGAGGGUGGGUGCAGAGUAAGGGGUGGCCACUGGGUGUGGGGGAGAUGGCAGGAUCUCCCUAGGAGUGGGAAUAGACUAGAAGGUUAGAGAUGGAGGGAGGGAGGGGCGGGAUCAGGAGGAUCCAGUGGAGACGGGAGAGAAGAGGGCAAUAAGGGAGGAAUACGGGGAAAGGCAGCUAUAAUCAAGGGCCAUUUGAGAGGUAGCAUGGAAACUCAACGCAGCAACUUUGUAAAAUAUACACACGCAAAAGAUCUAAAGAAACUGCCAAACAACGGGGCGAGACAGCCCCAACUGGACAUCUCUUAUCACCAACUGAAGCUUCCAGGACCAGGAUUGGGUUACAUCUAGCUGGGAUUCAGCCAUCCCCGAAAGGUUCUCACUCUGGAAGCAGCCAUGUUGGGAGGUGUUGUACCCUCUAGAGUAAUUAACUGAUGCGCUUCCUGGUGAGUCCUGGCUAUCGUGGGACUGGACUGGUCCCUCAGGAGUGGAUUACUCCACAGCAAGGUUACCCAGCCAUUCAGCCUCGUCCACACUGCCCUACUCACCACACUUGGCAGCGCUCCUGCAUGUUUUCUACUAUCCGUUAAAGCGGCCAGGAAGUCCUCAGAAGACUCCCGCACCACACACUAGGCUUUCCAGCCAGGAGACCUACACGGAGUGUCACAUCUCUUCUCCUUUCAUCGUCACCAAAGCCAAUGAGCAAGGCAUUACCGUUCCCAGCGUACACUGGGCUCAGAAAGACUGAAUCAUCUAAGAACACGCCACUGAAAACGCCCAGUCUGUUCUCAGGAUAACUAACUCACGCUGCUGGUGUGACAACUAGCGUGACUACUAACCGAUCAUGAGGGAGUAAAGAAGAAACACGGGAGGAACAAUUCAUUUGCAUCCCAGUGGUAUGGAGUGAGGUGACACACGACUUCAGCACACCGAUCAGAAUGGUGUGUUCUUUAAAGUGACAGUUCCUUUGUUCCCGGGAUUCCCCAUCUCACCUCUUUGGACUCUUCAAUACAACCAGCAGCUGAGGAGGCAGGACAGUCUUUUGAAGCCAGGACGUUUGAGUAUAACAAGUACCUAACAACACAGAAGGUAACUUUCUAACGUGGCUACUCCUUACUCCUCGAUGCUUUCUGGUACUCUCUCUUCUCUUGUUCAACAUUUCAAACAGCUUUCCAAGUUGUACUAAAUGAAUUCCAAGACCAUGGUGGGUCACCUCCCACAGUUAGGGGAGCGCUGACCUAUACCAUAUGUUUGUGAGCAUAUGGGCCACAGCCCAACCUCAACCAGAACAGAACACACAAAGCGGGGCAGGUUGCUGGUCUCCAUCCCUAACGGGCUGUCGUCAGCAGAUAAAACCCAUGAGCUUCGUUUCAGUGAGCUGCUCAGGAGACCGGCUUCUGCUCUCAAGUCGCUGAUUCUGUUCUAGACAUGUGACCGAAGGACAGGGAGAGGCUGGAUGAUUUUUCAAAGUCCCACUUCUAAUUGGUGGCAGAGACAGUAGCAAGGACCCUUGCCUCUGCCGGCCAGGCGAGUACGCUUCAACGCAUAAAGCUCCUUUGCUGAACCAUGCCCAUCUCUAGACCAGUAACCCAUACCUGACCUAUGCGCUAGGAACCAGAACUGCCAUGCCCAGUGGUGUUGUGGUUUGCCCUGAAGUAACUGUAUUUUGAUGCUAAUUCCACUGCCCCAAGGACAGCUGCCUAGUCAGGUACUCAGGACUCAGGUGACUUCACCAGAACCACCUCUCCAUUGAGUUUGUUAAGUACAGGUGAGGGGCAGGUACAGGAUAGAAGGAGGCCUGUCGUUGGAGGAGAAGGAAGGAUGGGCUGGAGAGAAGUUUGAAGGAAGAGGAGGAGACUAGGAGGGAGAAGGGAGACGGAGAGAGGGGAGAAGCCAUGGCAGGUGAUGUUAAGAUUCUGCUCUGUGUAUUCACAGGUUGUUAUUAAUGUUCUCAAGCGAUGGAUGGUACCAGACUUUGUAUGUUUAAGUGGGCAAUUAUAUCUUACCAAUUGGAUCUAAGAUUAUUGUGUUGUGUGUUCUUUUUAUGUGAGGGUUUGAGUGUAGGAAAGUGUGCGGCUGGGCUGUGUUUCCGCCAAGAUAUCUAGUAGAUACCUUGGGCACCGCAGUACAGACCUAGCGAGGCAAAAAACAACUACUCUUUUUAUUUUUAUAUUUUUACAACAACACAGUGGGAUCCACAGGAAGGCAAACCUCGCCAUUUACAAAUGAUCACUCCAAGAUUAAAAGCUUUCCCAACUGCAACCACCAUCAGAGUUGUCCUGACACCAGGGGUGUCUUUGAGGGAAGGGCAGACGUAAGAUCUGACUACAUUUGAAGACCAGGGUUGUUGCUAUGAAAGCAGCUCUGUAUUUUGACUGUUUCCCCCCCCAGGAUGGUAAUAAAGGCCAUUUUCCUUACAUGCAGCUUUUCUUUUCACUCUGAAGUGCUAUGACACAAAUGCACAUCGAAUGUAUAUGUAUAUGAAUAUGUAUUGUAUAUGUAUAUGUAUAUGUAUAUGUAUAUGUACAUGUACAUGUACAUGUACAUGUACAUGUACAUGUAUAUGUAUAUGUAUAUGUAACAACAACAACAAAAUGAAAUCUCUCUGACCAAGUUCAGAACUAACUUCUGACCCAGGGCAAGGCUCUGGGGUGUGGGGGAGAAGUUCUCUAGUCCCCAGGUUGCAUUGCACAGGCUGUAUUGAUCUCUAUCAAAUCCACGUCUGACUUAAGGAAAAUGAUGUUCACGGGCUGAAAAAUGAAACAGCGGAAGCUUUGUCCCCGCUCCACUCAGAGGUAAGAAGGGUUUGUCACUGAUCUCUCCUGGGGAGAUGUGUGUAAGUGUUUCUUUAUCCCAAGGAAAUGAUUCUACCAAAGUCCCCAGUGGUGAACCAGUGACUUUAUUGUGGUUUCUUUCAGGGGUUACUUAGAGGUGAAUGGGUGACUCAAGGGCCCACGCCAGCAUGGGUGAAGGCUCCUGAAGGCUUCACCCCAGCUGUGCUUCACACAGCUUCACAGAUGAGCCUCCUCCUAGCAAACUACAACAUUCUAAUCUUCCCAGCCUUGAAAACUUCCUUCGCCUCCUCAGAGUCCCUCUCAGCCCCCUGGGAGGGGAUGUCUCCAUUUGGAGGUGCUACAUAAAGCUAUUCGAGAAGACGAGAUUAAACAUGAGGUUGGAACAGUUAUUGCCAACUGGUAGCUUGGUUAGGCUUUUGAUUUUGCAUUUCUAAUAACAACCCCACCACCACCAA